UCUCUCAAUGCCGCUCCACCACAAUUAGGGUUCCUUCUUCUUUGUCUUUGAUCUCUUUGCUACUCCUCCAUGUAAAGAAAAAUGCGCCUUCAUAUGAAUAUUACUGUUUUUGAUUAUUCAAAACCUUAAAUUUGUCACCAAGCGCUUGCAACAUCUAUUUAGGUUGCACACAAGUUGCUCGAUAAAAUGCUUGAAUGAAGUUCUAUUCUCACAUUGGUUACAUUCAAGUGUAUGCCACCAUAAGGUAAAAUACUACCAAUUCUUACCUGAAUAAAAGCUUACCAACAGGUAAAUCAAUUUUUAUUUAUUUAUUACAAUAUCAUUUUUAUUCCUUUUCUCAUUAAGGGUCGCAACAGAUCAGGCAUGUGGAAAUUCAAUAGAAGGUGACACAUCAGUUUUAUCAGUUUAAAAAAUGAGGCCGUGAUGUCUUUAUUAUGUUGAUAUUUAAUUUUUUAUAUAACCAUUUAACGUGCACAAUAUUAAUGGUUUCAGGUUCAAUAUAGUACAAGAUGAAAGGUGUUGCAUUAGUUAGAUUAGUUAGACAAGUGAUUCCUUCUGAUAAUAGUUUCCUCUUUAAUGGAAAUGGCACUCAAGAAAUAUACGAGCAGAACAAAACGGCACCGAUGUUACUUUCUUCAGCUCAUUGAUGAUAUGCUAUAUUAAAUAAAACAUCAGUUUCCAAUUUUAUUGAUUUGUUACAGGUUUUGUAUGUAUCUUUACAUAGACAUGAAGGUGGAAAAUUUAUCCUGGUACUAGUGCAGUCCAUGAGUUUGGUUCCAUGGGUGGAGAAGGGUACUAUGUAAACGUUCCAUGGAGUCGGGGCGGAGUCAGAGAUAACGAUUAUAUUUUUGCAUUUGAGCAUAUCGUGCUUCCAAUAGCUCGUGAGUUUGCUCCUGAUUUUACAAUCAUUUCAGCUAGAUUUGAUGCUACAAGGGGUGAUCCACUUGGUUCUGUGCCCCUUUUGAUCUCUCAGAAAUUUGAUGGACCGACCCCAUCAUCUCCACCCCGUAGGAACUACGAGAUUACCCCAAGGACGCCUUCGGCAUCCAGGGGUUGCUCUGAGGACCAUCUUCGCGGAUAUGGUAUUAAUACACAUGACCACCUUCCUUGACAUGAAAUCGACCUAUAAUAGUGUCUGCGGAUAGUUUUAACCGAUCAUCUAUUGGAGAAACCGAUGUUCAUCCAUUGCUAACCUCUCUAAUGCAAUCUGUUCAGGUAACGAACAACCAUAAACGCUUUUCCCAUUCUGAGGUUCCAUUAUGGUGAUCUCGGUUUUAGAGUCCACUUCUCCAUUCACCGUGUCACUACCAAUCUCAGCCACCACCGUCGAAGAGUUUUAUACAAACCGGAAUUAAUCACUUGCUUUUAGUAAUGUGGCCCGUUGGUUACUCAAGCUUUUAGAAAGAGAUUUCAAAUGUAAUCAGACUUGAGGGUUUCCAUGGAGACCUCUUUAAAGUCGAAGGAAGCUUUAGUUCUCUGGUCUACAAAGAACAAGAGUUGUCAAAAGUUACGCUAAGGUCAUCCUGCCUGAAAAGGAUAACAAAAAGAAAAAUAUGAAUUUAGAUUUUGAAGACAAGGGUAUAAAGCGUCGAAAUGUUUAAGCAAGUUACCAAACUCCCGCAACCGAGGGAGCUUCUUGACAAGCAAAAGUUGGUCUUAUGAGACCUUGCCUAAGAGGGAUGCUACACGUUUUUUCUUGUGGUGAGAUUUGUGUUUUAGCUAUUUUUUUGUGCAUAAGAUAGUUCUUGAAUUUAAUGACCUAAUGGACACUUAUCAUAUAUUGAA